rnacentral:rRNA from 1 species
GACGAACGCUGGCGGCGUGCCUAAUACAUGCAAGUCGAACGCAGUGGGGACGGGUGCGUAACACGUGGGUAACCUCCCAUCAGAGGGGAUAACACUUGGAAACAGGUGCUAAACCGAUACUGAUGGAUGGACCCGCGGUGCAUUAGCUAGUGGGUGAGGUAACGGCUCACCAAGGCCACGAUGCAUCGCCGAACUGAGAGGGUGAUCGGCAAAACUGUGACUGAGACACGGCCCAGACUCCUACGGGAGGCAGCAGUAGGGAAUCUGCGGCAAUGGUCGAAAGCGUGAACGAGCAACGCCGCGUGAGUGAAGAAGGUUUUCGGAUCGGAAAACUCUGUUGUUAGAGAAGCGGUAUCUAACCAGAAAGCCACUGCGAACUACGUGCCAGCCGCCGCGGUAAUAC